AAUUUUAUAUUCUUCAAAGCAUGUUGAAAGUUGUAAAACCUUUGUAGGUCUUGUUCAUUCGUUGUUUCUCUCUUUCUUCUAAUUUUAGUUUUUGUUUUGUCAUGACAUUUCGAUUGUUUUCAAUCGCUUUGUUUCUCAUUCAAGAAAUGCUCGAUGAUGCACAUGACAGUGGUGGAGGAGUGAUGGAGAUAGGGCUUCCAUGGCAGGGGUGAGCGCGCAUUCCAGGUCGUGAAGCCGAAGAUAUCAAAGGUUGCCAAGGCCUCUUUAGGAUUUGAGGCAGAUCAGGGGCACUGUUGGUGUUAGAUUCUGCUCCUCGCUAUCCAUUAAACAAGAAGAUGCAGCAACCUUAUCAGCGAAACAACUUCUCUUCAAUCUCAGUUCCUAACCAAUCAGCACAGUCGCAUGUUGCUUCAUUUCAUUAAUUUUGUGAAUGUUGUGUUGAGUUGGUUUGGGAGAAGUUGGGGUCCUGAGUUAGGGGUGAGACUAUUUUUGUCAUCCAUUGUAUUCCAUUCCGGCACAACUUGCUUUCAAUUUAACGCUCUUCUUUUUAACUACCUUAGAAUUGGGAUCAUUUUGCUUAAUUUGCUCAAUUCCGUCUUUUUUAACUGGAUGUAUUUCUGCAUCUAAGCCUUCAAAUUACAAAAUAAGCUCAUAAUGGUUAUGAUACAAAACUCUCGAGCAAAUUGAAUAUGAUAAGAUAAGAACCAUAACAUUGAACGUUUCAUACCUUAACAUGACCAAGUUGUGCUAUCUGUAUUCCUAAUUAUGUUGUUGCUUCAGGUGGGAGAUAAAGUGCAUAGAGGAUAAGUUAAUUGCAUUUGUGGUAGAUCCUGAUGGUUACCUUUUUGAGAUUAUUCAGAGUUGUUUUCUCACUCCCAAAGUAAAACCCCUUGAGAAUAAGUGUCAUGUUGGUGCUCAAACGAUUAGCGCCAUGCCAACAAUUUUUUGUGGGUUAUUUUUUACUUCUUCCACAACCAUCUGUCAUUUCAGUUCCAUUAUUUCUUUCUCAUUGUUUCUCCUUCUUAACCAUGUAAACACUUCUCAUAUUUGUGAAGAUAUUUUGCACUGUGCUAGAGACUGUUCACAUUCGAAGUAGUUCUGGCUUAGAUUUGGGGCUUUUAGCUGGCCAAAUUUUAGAUCUGAUGAUGUCUAGGAUUGGGUAAGUUAGAGGAGGAUCUCACUCAGUCUUAUUUAUGGCAUCUUUGUGGGGUUUGUGGAAUUGGAGGAGUAAUAGCAUUUUUUAGGAAGAUUCUUGGACACAAAAGGUUGUCAAGAAUUGGAUUAGUAAUGAAUUUACUGAUUAAAAUUGAUCUUUGGUAAAGGAAGAAGUCACCCAGAUGGUAUACCUUAUAGACAAGGUUGAAAAACACACUGCAUUGUCUCAAAAUCAAUGUAAAUUGUAGUUUAAUCCUAUUAGGAGGAGCAUGGGUUUUGGGGCAUCGGUCCGUAAUAAUCAUGGCAAGAGGGUUUGUAGGCUCAGGAAUUCAUUUCGGCACGGGAAGCCUUUGUUAGCUGACUUGCAGUUAAAUUUGGUUUGUAGUUAUUGGAUUUGAAUAUUCUCGUAAGGGAAUUUGGGAGACAGAUUGCCAAGAUUUAUUUUCAAUCCUUGAAGCAAAUAGAUUCAGCAUUUAUCCUAAUUUCAUGACAGACUUAUUGAAGGUUAAAGGGCUAUUAGACUGAUCAUGGGAUGCCCAGGUGGUUCAUGUGCAUAGAGAGGAUAGUGAACCAGCAGUUUUUCUGUUUUGUGUAAUCUACUAAACUUGAAUAGAGAGCCUGAAGGAACACUGUUCCUAAGAAAGGUCUCCAUCCUGGCCGUUCAUUUUAUUUUUUUUUGUCCUGAUUUGCCUUCGAUCAAUCUUGGCCAUUCAUCUUUUUUCUACAGCAUUGGGUGACCCAAAGAGAGGGAAGCAGUGUUUUCUUCCACGUUUUCUCUGCCUCUGCCUCUGAUUGAUCUUGUCGAAGAAGGAGGUGUUAAAGGAGAACAGUGUUUUUGUCCGAAAUUGUCGUCAUCGUUGCAGGGUUCCCUCACUGUAGAUAGGGUUAGGAUAGGAUUAGGUGGAGAAGAGAAGAGGAUUGCAGUUCAGAGCAAGGAGAAGGUGAAGAGAAGAUGACCGAAAAUCAUCAUCACCCUAGACAGGGUUUAGGUUAGAUUCAGAAGGAGAAGAGAAGAUGGUGGAAGUAGAAGGACGAAAUUUCACUGUUUACGAAUGGGGAUGAUCAUAUGGUGACGAAGAAGGACCAGAUUCAGAAGCCAAGAUGAUGAUAGAUCACGUCAGUUCAGUACAAGUGCAGUAGUUGCCAGUUUUGGUGAGCACAAUGCGGCCUGUCUUCCUAUAUCCGGGGAAGACACUUUCCUUCUUGCUGCUCCAUGUUUUUCUGCUGCUGGUACUUUGUGAGAGAUUUUUUACUAGGAAGUCAGCUGUGCACGAGUUUCACUGCUCUGUUGUAUGGGAAGUUUAAAUGAAUUGCCGAAUUAGUUUUCGUUCCAGUCCAAGCUUUUUGAUUUAGGGUGCCAUCGGCUCUCCUUUAGUGACAAGAUAUGAAAGUGGCUCAUAUGAUUCUGGCAAUGUCUUCCUCUUAUUGACUAAAGAGAUUUCAAAGCACGAAUCUUCGAAAACAGUAUAGAGGGUUCAUCGUUGAGGCUUUUCUAUCUUGCACUUUCAGUUUUUGGUAACUCUUCCUCCGAAAUUGGAUUUGCCUAUACUUCAUAUUUUCAAAAUAUGAAUUUGUCACUUAUAUUUUCAAAAUUGGAUUUGUCUACACUUCAUAUUUUAACUUUGCCUACACUUCAUAUUUUCAAAAUUGGAUUUGUCACUUAUUACAGAUUACAGGUUUGUUUACAAAUCUUGAUAAAUACAAUAUUUUAUUUGCUUUGUGUUGUACCCUUUUAAGUUUUUGAUCUCAUUUGUACCUAUUUUUGUUUGAAUGAUGGGUUGCUUUGUUCAAAUAUGGUACCAAAAGAGGCCUAAUUACAAAUUCUAACGAAUUCUAUUAUUAUGUUGUUCAUUAAAAACUCUUUGUUUGUGCUGAGAUCACAUUAAUUUGAGCCCUUUGUCAGUGGUGUAUUAGUUGAGUGUGCAACUACUGUAAGUUGAUACCUCUGAUAUUCUCCAAUCAUAUUAGCAGUUUCAGUUUAAAAGUUGUUUUUUGUGAACAAUAUCUCUUAUUAAUUAUGUGUGGUGAACAUUUGAUUGAAAUUUAAGGCUUUGUUUUAUAACAGCUUUUGAUUAAUGAUAUAAUUGAGACCAUGUCAUGUGAAAUGUGAUAUUUCUCUUUCGUCAAAUGCACCUGCUGCCAAGCUAACACUGAGCAGUUUGAUUCUUCGGAGAAAUCAUAAGCUAGAGUCAAAUUGAACAGUGCUUUUGCUUUCAAUAGAGUGGAAAGAAAUGGGAUCCAAGAAGGUGGAAGGAAGUCCUCCACAAGCUAUGGAAUUGAAGAAAUGGGUGUAUUGAUUCAGUACAAGCUGAUGCUCAUGAGAGUUCAAAUUAUCUCACUGUUUAUAAGUAAUUUACGAGAGACCAAACAAGGCCCUCGUGAGGAUGCUAUUACUUCAAGCUCCAAAUAGCCGUGUAUUAAGAUUAAUGUUGUUGAGGAGGGUACUAUUGAGGAAGAUCUUUGUUCAAGUGGAUGCACUACACCAAAGGCUAAAGAGUUCAGAAUUCCGAAGGUAUUUGUGCAAUAAAUGGAGAAGCAAAUUAUGUAAGGUUACAAAUUUAAAAAAAUGUGCAUUCAAGAGGUAAAGGAAUAUCAUGGGUUGUGCAGAACGCUGGAAACAAAGAGAAGUGGUUGGAUGAAGGCCUUUUUGCUUUGCCAUGGAAUGACAUGAUUGAAAAAAGGUUCUUUGUAAAAAUACUUGGAUAUGAUCCUGUGGAUGAUUUUGCAGUUUUAAAGAAAGAUAUUCCAACUAUUGUGUGGACAUAACAAGCACAAAAGAUGGCAAGUUUAUAACUGCGAACUCGAACUCAAGGACUUCAUUGGAGAAAGGAAGUAGACAAAAUGAAAAGGGCCAACUCUUUUUUGUGGGUUUGUGAGUGUGUCACCAUUUUGCUGAGAAAAAUUGGUGUAAGUACUGCAUCAGAGGGAGA